rnacentral:rRNA from 1 species
GAAUCUUCCGCAAUGCGCGAAAGCGUGACGGAGCAAUGCCGCGUGCAGGAUGAAGCCCCUCGGGGUGUAAACUGCUGUCAGGUGCCAGUAAGCAAGUGAACAGCACCAAAGGAAGGGCCGGCUAACUUCGUGCCAGCAGCCGCGGUAAUACGAAGGGCCCGAGCGUUACGCGGAAUCACUGGGCUUAAAGCGUACGUAGGCGGACAUGUAAGCGCUUUGUGAAAUCCCUCGGCUCAACCGGGGAAUUGCAGGGCGAACUGCAUGUCUCGAGGCAGGUAGAGGCCGUCGGAACGCUCGGUGGAGCGGUGAAAUGCGUAGAUAUCGAGCGGAACGCCGACGGUGAAGACAGGCGGCUGGGCCUGUUCUGACGCUGAGGUACGAAAGCGUGGGGAGCAAACGGG